rnacentral:lncRNA from 1 species
GUUUACUACUAGCAGUGUAACUCCAUCUUUAUCAGGUUCCUCCAGCACUCUGCAAAAAUUGGAGUUGUUAAACAUUUCACUUUAUAUGGCUGGAUUUAAUUACUUUGGAAAUGGAAUGUUAAAUCUCCUCUGCUGGGCUUUAUGGCUUUCACCAGGAAGAGGCUGAGCCGGAGCGGGAGCUGUGUGUAAAUCUGUCUGUGCUGGAUGUAGGGCAAGCACCGCAGGCAGAUUUCACAGGCGCUCAGCAUCGCGUGGAAGCGUCUUGCUGUGUCGUUCGCAUUCAGAUCUUCGCUCUCCUGAUGCCGGGAUGCCAGCAGAGCCCGGCCACGUGCGAAGCGCACGCCGUCUGUUCCCAGAGCCCUUCCUGCUAACUGCGUGUUCACAGAAGGAACGAUGCUGGGAUGGGCUGCGGCAUGCUSCUUGCCUUGUUCAGGCUGGGUGAAGGGAUGUGAAAAUGUGAUGCUCCGAGGUGCAGCUCCUUGCAUGCCGCCUGCUGCUGGGAUGUGGGUGCAGCGUGCUGGCGGAGCAGGCCCGUGGUGUGCGAUUCCCCGGGUGAAAUGCAAGCACCAUGGAAACACAAGCAGCGAAGCUGCCACCUUGUUACCUGCUUUGCAGUACUUGAACGUAACGCCUCUGCCCCUCUGCACGCCGCCCCCUCCUGCAGCUCCCGUGGGCAGUGACUGGCAGCCUGUCGCAGACGGAGCUGCUCUCCGCUGUCCCUGCUGCGGCUUCCUUGCCUGCCUUUCACUGAUCUCCAAAAACUGCAGCUUACAUCUGUGCCGUUCGUAGCUAAUGAUCAGCUAACGCCAGGUGAAUAUAAGCCACAUCCUGCACUGUUGACAGCUGGAUGCAGUUCAGAUCCUGAAACCGGUGAUGCAUCUGUUGCUUCUGCUGGCUGGGCCAGCACCGUGCCUUUGCACGAAGGAACGAAGAGCUUCCCUUUUCCCAGAGGCUUGUCCGUUUUGGAAGCAAUUGUAAGAGAUUGCCAUUUCUCCCAGACGUGGCAAAUGGCUUCAGGCGAGAGCUAAGAGCUCUGUA